CCCAGAAUAGCUCUUGGAAACGGGUGGUAAUGCUGGAUGCUCCAACUUGACGCAUGUCUUGUUGGGAAAGUGUUUAGUGGCAUGGGAUGGGGUCGCGUCCUAUCAGCUUGUAGGCGGGGUAAUGGCCCACCUAGGCUUCGACGGGUAGCCGGCCUGAGAGGGCGGACGGCCACAUUGGGACUGAGAUACGGCCCAGACUCCUACGGGAGGCAGCAGCA
rnacentral:rRNA from 1 species